rnacentral:lncRNA from 1 species
AGAUGGAUUUGCAGCCGCUGCAAGUGUGUGGAAGGGCCGUGUUCGUGUUGGCAAAGAAGGUCGGCUGCUGAGCCAGGGCGUGUCUCCCGGAGGCCUGUGGGCUGCCAGGAUCCCCACCUCUCUGCAAUGGGCUGCCCAGGCUGGUCAGUUACCAGCCAGUGACAUCAGCGAGGUUCCCUGCUCUCUACCCUGGGAAGGGCCCAGCCUAAGUUACCAAGCCCCAGGCUCCCAGUACCACCCUCAGCCUAUGUGGAUUGCCACCCCACCUUCUGCCUGUCCUUGGGAGGGGACCGACUCUUAGCUCCCCUUAGCAAUCAGGUUGCACCCAGUCCCUUGACUUUAUGCCCAGGUUUCCUGGCACCUAAAGUAGAAACGAUGCAACUGCCCCUCGGGCUUGCUGAGGGUCAAAGGGGGUGUGACUUUGUCAUGGAGCGUAGAAGUCAGAGUCGAUGGUGAUCCCGCUGGCUGUUAACAUCGAUACAGUUCAGACCAGCCGGUUCCUGCUGGAAGCUCCU